GCCCAGGACCCAGGCCCCAGGCCCAGUUAAAACAAGACCCAGGGUGCGUAAACGCUCUCUUCUAUCCUCGACGACCUCUCCAUGGCCACCAAGAGGAAGCCCGGCAGGUCGUCGGCGGCGGCGGCGGCGGCGACGCGGAGGGCCUAUUCUCCUCGCGCUCCUUCGCCGACCCCACACUCUGCGAGGAGGCUCCUCAUCUGAUCUGAGCAAAGAGGCAAAGUAGGGAAGCACACACCUUGGUUAUUAAGCAGCAGCAGCAGAUCCAAUGCUUUGAGAGAGGAGUAGUGAGGGUGUGGACUAUGAAAGAUGAGUAGCGAGGUUGCGGUGUUGAUGUGAAGUAAAUUUGUCGUUCCUCUACCUUAUAGCUUUGUUCCCAACGUCAUAAGAUUGUGACAGAGAAUGGUCCAGAUUACAAGCAAUUACCCUGUCGAUUAGUCCUAGGCCCGGCCGCGCAUCAGACCUAUAAAAAAGGGUUUAUUAGGAGCGCUGGCAUGGGUUUUCAAUCAUUAUUAAGGUUCCUAAUUAAAUUGUUAAAGAAUCCAAGGUAAUCAAAAAAAGGAGAUGCACUAUUCAAAUA